rnacentral:rRNA from 1 species
UACGGGGGGGGCAAGCGUUGUUCGGAAUUACUGGGCGUAAAGGGCGCGUAGGCGGCUUUUCAAGUCGGGCGUGAAAUCUCCGGGCUUAACCCGGAAGGGUCGUUCGAUACUGUUGAGCUAGAGUGUGGAAGAGGCAACUAGAAUUCCGUGUGUAGCGGUGAAAUGCGUAGAUAUUGGGAGGAACACCGGUGGCGAAGGCGGCUACCUGGACCGGUACUGACGCUGAGGCGCGAAAGCUAGGGUAGCAAACAGG